GAAAGCCAAAAAAGAAAAGCUGCCCACCAUUAAGGGGUCUACGCUCUACAUAGAAAUCCACUCAGCUAAACUAGAUCCUAUGCACUUUAAUUUGCUUUCACAACUAAUUUUAUUAAAUUACGUUGCUUUUUCAUAUUUUACUCGAUAUAAUUUGAUGCCAUUUUUCAUUUUUUGUGGGAUAAAUAAUUUUGAAUCAGUAUAUUAUAUAUACCUCCAUACACAUUCAUGAAGUGAAUCUUUUGAUAUGAUUUCAAAUUAUUUUGUGAUGUCACGUUUGUGUAUAGUUUUGUCCAUUUGAUGUAGAAUUGAGUGUGUUGGAGUAGUAGUGUACAUAAACUACGCCCAAGGAUCAAGAAUGGAGAGAAACGGGCGUGAGAAACGAAGGAAGAAAUGAAGAAAGAACAAAAGAAGAGAGAAAACGGCGGCCGCCUAUUUUGUGAUAGACGCAUGAACAAUUUCGGAGAUUGCCGAAGCGAUUGCCAAUUAUUUUGGAAUUUAUGUGAGAAACGGAUGAUAGCCUAUUUUCUUAGACUUUUUAGUGUAAUUUCAGCGGCCUACUGGUAUGGUUGCCAAUUUCAACCGUGUUUGACCUAAUUUCAUGUUAAAUUCAUAGUAUAUAUUCGAGUCUGAGGGUUCCAGAUCAUAUUCCUAGUUUGAGACUUAAUUGUUUUCUUAGUUUUAAAGCUGAGAUUUGGUUUUCCACAAAGAAUUGAAGAUUCAAGAUUGUUACACUAAAUUCAUUUCAGGGUCAUAUUGGGGAGAGAGCGAGGUUUGAAGGGAUGAGAGGUCCAGUUCAGGGCAGAUAAGAGAAAGAUGGUCAGAAUGAGCAUUACCAGCUCAAACUGCAAGUUGUCAUGUUUAUAGGGAUGGAGCAGAGACGAAGUACCGCUCAGAAUACAUCUGAGGAGUGGGAACCACCGAAGUGUACCACCUUGUAUGAGGCGAACCAGAAGAAGCAGUCAGUACGACCAUUACCGGAAUGAGCAGCAGCAGCCGAAGCUCAAUAAGGAAACCCGUGUCCAGAAGAUAUCAUGAAGAUUGUAGGCGAAUGAAGUAUGGCAAGUGAAGGAUCCAGAAGGUGGUAGAAGUUGACUCCAUCGGCAGCUGGAAGAUCAUAUCCAAUCAGAUCAAUCAGUGAUUGGGCUAAACAUGGAAAGAAGAUCAAUCUGUAGAUAUGGUUGCCGGAGUUUGACUGCUACCGUGAUGAUAUUUAAGGGCCAGCAUAUGUGGCUGGCGGAGGACUUUUGACACCCCCAUCUUUAUUCACCAUUAUCACUGUGCACCAAGAAACAAUUUACUUUAGUUUGUUUUACUUUCGCAAGAACAAUUUAUGCUUUCUAGUAUUUCAAUUCGGUUGCAAGAAACAAGCCAAGACAUUUUGCGUUAGGUACUUUUCUAUUAAAGUUAUUUACAUUUUGCUAUUUCAUGUUUUUAUAUCAUUUCACAUUUAUGUCUUU